AGGGGUGUGGCUCAGUGGUAGAGUUUUUGCCUUGCAUGCACAAGGCCCUAGGUUCAAUCCCCAGCACCACUA
rfam:Cavia porcellus supercont2_2 genomic scaffold, whole genome shotgun sequence.